UGGAAGUCAAAGAACAACUUCGUGGA
rnacentral:piRNA from 1 species